AGUGAACGCUGGCGGUAGGCCUAACACAUGCAAGUCGAACGGCAGCACAGAGGAGCUUGCUCCUUGGGUGGCGAGUGGCGGACGGGUGAGGAAUACAUCGGAAUCUACUCUGUCGUGGGGGAUAACGUAGGGAAACUUACGCUAAUACCGCAUACGACCUACGGGUGAAAGCAGGGGACCUUCGGGCCUUGCGCGAUUGAAUGAGCCGAUGUCGGAUUAGCUAGUUGGCGGGGUAAAGGCCCACCAAGGCGACGAUCCGUAGCUGGUCGGAGAGGAUGAUCAGCCACACUGGAACUGAGACACGGUCCAGAAUCCUACGGGAGGCAGCAGUGGGGAAUAUUGGACAAUGGGCGCAAGCCUGAUCCAGCCAUACCGCGUGGGUGAAGAAGGCCUUCGGGUUGUAAAGCCCUUUUGUUGGGAAAGAAAUCCAGCUGGCUAAUACCCGGUUGGGAUGACGGUACCCAAAGAAUAAGCACCGGCUAACUUCGUGCCAGCCGCCGCCGCGG
rnacentral:rRNA from 1 species